UAGGGAAUCUUCGGCAAUGGACGGAAGUCUGACCGAGCAACGCCGCGUGAGUGAAGAAGGUUUUCGGAUCGUAAAGCUCUGUUGUAAGAGAAGAACGAGUGUGAGAGUGGAAAGUUCACACUGUGACGGUAUCUUACCAGAAAGGGACGGCUAACUACGUGCCAGCAGCCGCGGUAAUACGUAGGUCCCGAGCGUUGUCCGGAUUUAUUGGGCGUAAAGCGAGCGCAGGCGGCUAGAUAAGUCUGAAGUUAAAGGCUGUGGCUUAACCAUAGUACGCUUUGGAAACUGUUUAACUUGAGUGCAAGAGAGGGGAGAGAGAUUUCCAUGGUAGCGGUGAAAUGCGUAGAUAUAUGGAGGAACACCGGUGGCGAAAGCGGCUCUCUGGCUUGUAACUGACGCUGAGGCUCGAAAGCGUGGGGAGCAAACAGGAUUAGAUACCCUGGUAGUCCACGCCGUAAACGAUGAGUGCUAGGUGUUGGGUCCUUUCCGGGACUCAGUGCCGCAGCUAACGCAUUAAGCACUCCGCCUGGGGAGUACGACCGCAAGGUUG
rnacentral:rRNA from 1 species